ensembl:lncRNA
AUGUUAACUGAUGGACUGUGGAUUACUGUGAUGUUUUUAUCAGCUCUCGUUCUGACGGCACCCAUUCACUACAGAGCAUCCUUUGAUGAGACAGUGAUUCAAUGCUACAUUUCUCCAAAUCUGAUGAAGACACAAACUCAUCUUAAUCUUGGAUGGGCUAAAGGUUCACGCAGCACUUCACAGAUCAGAGCUCAAGGGGAACGACACACACCUCCAGAACCACAUCGGUCCAGGACAAACAGCGCCCUCUGCAGAAGCUGACCUCCACGUUGUCCAGGCGACAGUCGCCCUUGGUGAUGUUCCUGACCUCAGUGUGACGACGGCACUCGGCAACCGGAUCCUCUGGAGACGAGGAAGUGAUGUUCACGGGAGAAAAUAGGACAGAAGAAGAGAGAUUAACAGAAGAACAUACAGAAGAAGAAUUACAAUCAAAAGAAUCGCAUCUGAUUUAAUGAAGGAUCUCUGAGAACAGCUGAGAGGACGAGAAGAACUUACACCGUCCUGCAAUCUCAGGAAUGUAGUUACACGAGUCGAGCUGUAGUUUGACUACAGCUAAAGCUUAAUGAUGUGUACUACCCCAAUCGUCUGUGGCACAUGAGAAGUGCUGACAAACAUCAGCGAACAGCUGCAGGCUCACUCUCCCUAUUAGUGGGAAACUGUGUGACUCUCACCUGGAAACUGUCUGCGGCACACGGGACAGCAGCUCUCCGCUUCCAGCACCUUCACUUCACCCUGGAAAACAGAGCGGGAGAGAAAGCAUAUCAGAGGAGCAGGAGGCUGAGAAUAGCUCGCUGGUGAGAUGGACGGAUGCUCCUGGGGCUCAGACGAUUACACUGGAAAUAUGGAGUGAAACUGAGACUACACAGCUCAAUGCAAUCGUUACUCCAGAAACUUUUUCACUGUUCAAACCCAUCAGCAUUUUUAUACCUCACAAUUUAUCUGACUGUUUGCAACUUUGAAAACACUUUUGAUUAUAUUUCUGGAACUCAGUUUGGUGCCGCCGCAGGCAGAGAGAGGAAACACUAUGAGUCCAGCCUGUGUUUAUUUCAGUCAGUGAUUAUUAGUUUGGAGUGCACUCCUUCGCUGAGGUGUGACAUUUACUUGUGCCAGUGGCAGAAAUGCAAAUCGGGUAAUUUGAUUUUGACUGAAUGAAGAAGAACCAGAGGCAGUAUUUUUAGUUGUUCUUUCUCCCAGAGGAGAUGUUGGCUUCCUCGAGGGCUGCUGAGCUUCUGAGACGUCCAGGCGUCACUCCAGAGCCAUCUGGGACAUUAUCCCUGACCGGAGCUGUUGCCUGGACAACGGGUCGCUCUAUUUCCAGCAUCUGGUCCUCUAACGGCGUCCUGAACUCAUUACCGAUGCACCGGUUAUUCGGCCGAUGCAUGUGAGACUGAACAGCAGUGGAUGUCUAACGGAGAAUACACUGGAGAAAUCUCUCUGUGUGUGAGGUGAAGGAAAGCAAAUCUGAACCACAAACGACACGUUUCUUACCUCAGAGCAGUGAAGGGGAGGACAGUUUGACUGACAGUGUUUCUGGCCAUUGAUACAGCGACAGGACUGACAGCCGUCCACCCACUCGGACCCCGGCUGUGACACACAACACACAGUUCAUUCAUAUUUACAGUUAUGUGCUUGACACACACUCCCUACUAAAACAAGUUCUGCAUAAUAUUUGGUCCCUGUGUUUUGCAUUUAUUAGUGUGUUAAUAGUAGUAUCAUAAUAGUGUAUUAUAUUCACAAUAGUGUAUCUGUUUAUUCAUAUAUAUAUAUAUAUAUAUAUAUAUAUAUAUAUAUAUAUAUAUAUAUAUGUAUUGCUAUUACCAUUUUAAUUAAUACUUUCAUAAAGCAAGGAUGCAUUAAAUUGAAUAAAGGUUUCAGACCAACCAUCAUCCAUCUACGAGGCAGAACUCUAAUUAUAAUGAUAAUUAUAAUUAACUAAAUGUAAAACCAUAAAAAUUGGUAAAUAAAUUUUAAAUUGAAAAAAAAACAAUAAAAUAAAAUGAAUAAAUUAAAUAAAAUAAAAUGAAUGGAUGAAUGAAUGAAUAAUAAUAAUAAAAACAUAAAGAAAUAAAAGAAAGAAAAAAAUUUAACUUAGUUAAUCUAGUUGACAUGGUAUUUCUCAUUUUCAGGUUAACCUAAAAUAACAAAAAAACGGGACUAACAAACAAUAAUAAAAAAAAAAUGUCAGUAAAGACAUUUUAUAAUGUUACAUAAGAUUUCUAUUUCAAAUAAAUGCUGUUCUUUUGAACUUUCUGUUCAUCUGUGAAUCCUUAAAAGUAAAAUGCAUCACAGUUUCCACAAAAAUAUUGAGCAGCAGAACUGUUUUCAACACUGAUAAUAAUCAGAGAUGUUUCUUGAGCAGUAAAUGAUCAUAUUAUUCUGAUUUCUGAAGAUCAUGUGACACUGAAGACUGGAGGAAUGAUGCUGAAAAUACAGCGGAGCAUCACAGAAAUAAAUUAAAGUUUAUUUUAUAUUCACAUAGAAAACAGUUAUUUUAAAUUGCAAUAAUAUUUCACCUUUUUUUAUCAAAUAAAUGCAAGAGCAACUAUUUCUUUAUGUAUUUUUUUUUUUACAAAUAUUAGUUCCCAUAAGUUAAUUAUAUUAUUAGUUCUUUUUAGAAUGUUAGAAUUUUAACAUUGGUGAAUCAUUCAUAAUAAUGAUAAACAUGAAUUAAUAAAGCCAAUAAGUAUAUUUAAGUAAAGAAUGUAGAAUGAAUGUAGAUUUGUAAAUAUUGAUCUACAGUUAAUGUAGUAUUGUGUACUGUAAAACAUCCAUCAAUGUUGUGCUGAUGGCAUUCUUCCCGCCACAGGAAGUUACAUCAUCCGUCUCAUUCAACAAAACGCUCUUCAUACAGAAACUCUUAAAUGGGCGCCACUGUAGUUCAAUUAGACAACCUCAUAAGGCCUUUCAACGUUUGUUUUUUUUUGUUGUUGUUCAUUAUUGAUGAUGGCAAUUAAAUUUUUCCACAAAUGCCCUGAGUGCUAAUCCAUCAGACUCGUUAAUGACCUUCCAUAUUAGAAUAAACAAACAAAGUAAGCAGCACAGCAAUUACAGGCUAAAGCAGAGCAGUGUGACGGGUGUGUGUGUGUGUGUGCGUGUACCUCUCGAAGCGUCCCGUCUUCCUCUUCACACUGACACAGAGCUGGAAUCACACACUGGCCCUCCAGGCUCCGGUACCGGCCCUCCUCACACACACAGCCCUCUGUGGCCCCGGGGCCCGUACAGUUGAGCGGUUCAGGGCUGUAGAGGUCCACACACCCCCUCUCACACACGCGCCCCAAUAUGGACUCACUCCAGAUCCAACGCUCACCAUCUGGACACUCUGUAUGAACAUUAGUUGAUGACCAAUGGGCUUUAGGGAAGGGCAAAUGCUAUAUAUUUUUUUUUAAACUAUGUUUUCUUUUAUUAUUUUAUUUUUAAAUAAACAGAACAGUUAAGUUGCAAAAAUAAAUAAAUACAAUA